UACAGGUUAAUAUUACUACUGAAUGAUCUCCCUACAGGUUAAUAUGACUACUGAAUGAUCUCCCUACAGGUUAAUAAACUACUGAAUGAUCUCCCUACAGGUUAAUAUUACUACUGAAUGAUCUCCCUACAGGUUAAUAUUACUACUGAAUGAUCUCCCUACAGGUUAAUAUUACUACUGAAUGAUCUCCCUACAGGUUAAUAUUACUACUGAAUGAUCUCCCUACAGGUUAAUAUUACUACUGAAUGAUCUCCCUACGGGUUAAUAAACUACUGAAUGAUCUCCCUACAGGUUAAUAUUACUACUGAAUGAUCUCCCUACAGGUUAAUAUUACUACUGAAUGAUCUCCCUACAGGUUAAUAUUACUACUGAAUGAUCUCCCUACAGGUUAAUAUGACUACUGAAUGUUCUCCCUACAGGUUAAUAUUACUACUGAAUGAUCUCCCUACAGGUUAAUAAACUACUGAAUGAUCUCCCUACAGGUUAAUAUUACUACUGAAUGAUCUCCCUACAGGUUAAUAUUACUACUGAAUGAUCUCCCUACAGGUUAAUAUUACUACUGAAUGAUCUCCCUACAGGUUAAUAUUACUACUGAAUGAUCUCCCUACAGGUUAAUAAACUACUGAAUGAUCUCCCUACAGGUUAAUAUUACUACUGAAUGAUCUCCCUACAGGUUAAUAUUACUACUGAAUGAUCUCCCUACAGGUUAAUAUUACUACUGAAUGAUCUCCCUACAGGUUAAUAUUACUACUGAAUGAUCUCCCUACAGGUUAAUAUGACUACUGAAUGAUCUCCCUACAGGUUAAUAAACUACUGAAUGAUCUCCCUACAGGUUAAUAUUACUACUGAAUGAUCUCCCUACAGGUUAAUAUUACUACUGAAUGAUCUCCCUUCAGGUUAAUAUUACUACUGAAUGAUCUCCCUACAGGUUAAUAUUACUACUGAAUGAUCUCCCUUCAGGUUAAUAUUACUACUGAAUGAUCUCCCUACAGGUUAAUAUUACUACUGAAUGAUCUCCCUUCAGGUUAAUAUUACUACUGAAUGAUCUCCCUACAGGUUAAUAUUACUACUGAAUGAUCUCCCUACAGGUUAAUAUUACUACUGAAUGAUCUCCCUACAGGUUAAUAUUACUACUGAAUGAU